AUUGAACGCUGGCGGCAGGCUUAACACAUGCAAGUCGAGCGGAAACGAUGAUAGCUUGCUAUCAGGCGUCGAGCGGCGGACGGGUGAGUAAUACUUAGGAAUCUACCUAGUAGUGGGGGAUAGCACGGGGAAACUCGUAUUAAUACCGCAUACGUCCUACGGGAGAAAGGGGGCAACUUGUUGCUCUCGCUAUUAGAUGAGCCUAAGUCGGAUUAGCUAGAUGGUGGGGUAAAGGCCUACCAUGGCGACGAUCUGUAGCUGGUCUGAGAGGAUGAUCAGCCACACCGGGACUGAGACACGGCCCGGACUCCUACGGGAGGCAGCAGUGGGGAAUAUUGGACAAUGGGGGAAACCCUGAUCCAGCCAUGCCGCGUGUGUGAAGAAGGCCUUUUGGUUGUAAAGCGCUUUAAGCAGUGAAGAAGACUCCUCGGUUAAUACCCGUGGACGAUGACAUUAGCUGCAGAAUAAGCACCGGCUAACUCUGUGCCAGCAGCCGCGGUAAUACAGAGGGUGCAAGCGUUAAUCGGAAUUACUGGGCGUAAAGCGAGCGUAGGUGGCUUGAUAAGUCAGAUGUGAAAUCCCCGGGCUUAACCUGGGAACUGCAUCUGAAACUGUCAGACUAGAGUAGGUGAGAGGGAGGUAGAAUUUCAGGUGUAGCGGUGAAAUGCGUAGAGAUCUGAAGGAAUACCGAUGGCGAAGGCAGCCUCCUGGCAUCAUACUGACACUGAGGCUCGAAAGCGUGGGUAGCAAACAGG
rnacentral:rRNA from 1 species